rnacentral:rRNA from 1 species
UACGUAGGAUGCAAGCGUUGUCCGGAAUUAUUGGGCGUAAAGCGCGCGUAGGCGGCUUUGCAAGUCGGGUGUGAAAUCCCCAGGCUUAACCUGGGAACUGCAUUCGAGACUGCAUUGCUAGAGUAUGGGAGAGGGAAGUGGAAUUUCCGGUGUAGCGGUGAAAUGCGUAGAUAUCGGAAGGAACAUCAGUGGCGAAAGCGACUUCCUGGACCAACACUGACGCUGAGGAGCGAAAGCCAGGGGAGCAAACGGG